GGCCUGCGCGGCCGGCCGGGAGCCCCCGGGCCUCCUGCCUCCUCCGCCGCCGAGGCGCGGGGCCUCUUCCGCGGGGGCGGGGAGGCCCGCCGGCGUCCGAGUCGGAGGAGGAGGAAGCGGAGGCCAGAGUUUCCUCGCCGAGAGAGGCCGUGGUGGGCGGCCGGCGGGGCGCGGCGCGGGUCGGGCGGGCGCGGGCCGGGGGCGCGAGGCGCGGGCAGCGGCCGCCUGUGUGCUCCGGUCGCCGCGCCGCUCGGUGUUGAUUCCUCCCCAGCUGCUGUCCCUAAUGGAGUCCGGCGCGCGCGUCACCGGAAAUGCCUGCACUGCGCUCGCCCACUUCCGGCGGCAGGUGCGGCGCUGUCAGCGUGUGCGGCCGCCCUGUCCUCCCCGCGGGCCUCGGCUUCGCCCGGCCCGGGUUCUGGUGGGUCCCUGCCCGGCCGCCCUGCCUGGCCGUCUCCCGGUUCCGGCCCGCCCUGGGUCCGGCCCGGCCUGACCCCGAGGGGCACGCCCGCUCCUGGUUCCGGCCCGCGCAGGUUCCGCCCGAGGCCGGGUCGCCCGCGGGUCCGCCCUGAGAUGAGGCCGCGGCCUGCGUGGGUCCGGGCCGCCCGGGGUCGCGGCUCGCGGACCCCGACCCGCGUCGGCAGCCACGGCCUGUUCCGACCUGGCCUCGAAACUUCGGGCGACCUGUGACCGACUUGGGUAACCUGGCCUGGUCUUACUAGAAACCUGAAUUUCUGAAGCCCACGCGCACACACAUCCCUGUCUGUAUUCAGUCCCACACUGCCUGCCUGUUGUCUGCACUCUGGGUCUUUCUAGAGCCAGGUUUCAGGACCACUUGCACUUAGCCACUCAAGACUCAGCUGGUUUUGAGCCUCUGGGGUUCCUGACUCAGCCUCCCAACCUGACAUCAUAUGAGUGUCACUUACCAGGCCCCUCAGACUGGACGGCUGCUUCUCAUGAGAGUUGCUAAGACCCCACCCCUUCCACCAGCCAUCAGAGGGGCCUUUCAAGACCCUCUAUUCCCCUCACUCAUUUUUGCCUUUUCACACUCCUGGAAAAGACUAAGAUGGGUUUGGGAAUGGACAUCCAAGUUGUCUUUUAGGAAAAGGGAAGUGAGGGCAUAAUUAGGCUUUUGUGCCUUUAAACUCAUUUCCAUGUGUGUCACAGGACUCUGACCCUGUGCUAGGUUCCAGGUGAGAGGCACCUUCUUGUCCUAGGCAUGUUCUGGCAGGGACUUUCAGGGGUUUGCCCUCAUCAGGGAUGAGGCAGAGUGUUUCAAGGCUAGGCUCCUGAGCUAUUGGACUUGCAAGGCCUUCCCAUUCCUGAGAUACCUGUGAACUCCGUGCAUGAGUUCCCUGACUGCCAGUGUUUGUCAGCCUUUGAGUCCUGACCUGUGACUCAUGAAGUCACCUCAGGGGGCCAUAACCAGUAUUUUAAAAAAUGAAGUGGGAAAAUGUAAAAGCAUAGGAAAUAUCUGUCAUGGUGAUGUCCGUGUCUGUGCUUUAGGAGGUGAGAUACAUUUCUUGUGUAGGUCAUUCUCGAAAAGCUUCAAAACCACUCACCUACAGUCAGUCCUGCCUGACUAGAAGGCCACUCUCAAAGUAGGCGUUGGGUAAACAUCGACAGCUCCCCGGACUGCCCAACACAAGGUCUUCAUUGAGAUAAGUAAAAGAUAAUGUCAGAGUUUGCAAUAAAACAUAAACACCAAAAUUUUCACAGGUCUUUCUGAAACUAGUAGAGAUUUACUUUUCUGUCAAGGUUUAAUUUUCAGAGCUUGAGAUGUAACGCAUCUAGAGUGCCUAGAGGCCCUAGGUUUGAUCCCCACUACCACAAAAUAAAUAACAGAAGAUUUUUUUGUCAUCACACCUUAGUACUGUACUUAGUAACACCUGUACUUGGUUUAUGAAAUUCCUGUUAGGAAGAGGUACUUUUCAGGAACUCCGUGUCCCUGAGGAGAGAUGUGUUUGAAUUUACAUCCUUAGCUUCAUUGCUUGCUUUUCUGCCUGUGAGGCUGUAAAAUUGUCCACACUGGACUUGUGGAACUCCUGUGGGCUUGGAAGAAGUCGGGAGUGGCCUCAGGAGUAUCAGGGUCAGGCCCCUGGGCAGCUGAUUGGCCUUGGAUGGUCUCGUGACUUCUCCCACACAGGGCUCCUAAGUGGGGCUAAUGAUCUGGCCAGCCUGUCUGAUGGAGUGUCUAUGUGGGUCAAAUGAGUCACAAAUAGAACUGAUAUUUGUAAAGAUACUAUGUUGAAAUGUUUAAGAUGAAAAUUACAUUCUUGGUCAUUUAAAAAAGAUCUGAAGCAGCCAAGUGGAAAGGUGUAAAGUGGUUUUGUUACUGAGACUUGAACCAAGGACUCUGCUGGCUUCCCACCCUUGGGUUCCAGCAUCGGGGCGAGGCACGGCAGGGCUAAGCAGCCUGCUUGUCUGGGCCCCUCCACGCCGCACCCAGCGGGUCUCCCCAUGGCGAACAUGUCUCCCUCUGCUUGCUCAUCCCCUCCAUGAGGCACGUAGGGUGCUCUUCUGGGCAGGGGGACCCCAGGAGCCUUUCUCAGAAGGAGUGGGGACGCCGCCUUGCUCUCAGCUGCCACGUCUCAAGCUGUCCUAGGGGCCCAGCUGGUAUGGAUAGCAACAUCUCAGACAGCCAAAGGAACUGAAAGGAACCUCAGAAGCAAUGAUAUGUUCCCAUCACACAGCCUGGAGGAGUUUGUAACUGCAGCACCAACUUUGUAGUAGGGUCACAUUGUGAAAAUGCUGUACUGCCAGCUACAAGUGCAAUGUAUUCCCCAGCUUCGCUAACUAGAGCAGAAGAAAGCAGUAAUCACCACACGCUGAUAAGAACGGGGUGGCAAGGCGUGUUGUUAAGUGGAAAAUGCAUGUUACAAAGCACGAUGUAUAAUACUCAUUUUUAGUAAAUGAAUGAAUAUAAAUAUCUACAUUGUUUUUCUGUUGGGACAGAAAAGUAUAAGCAGUGGUUUAUCUUGGGUAGGGGGGACUGGGGUGGGAGAUCAAGGUUUUAUUUCUUUGCUUUUGUACUUUUUCUCAGUCUUUGCAUUUUCUAGAACUAUAAGUUCUUUUUAUACUUUUUUCUCAGUGUUUGCAUUUUAAGAACUAAGUUUUUAAAAGUAUCAGGUUUAUUUGAGUUUUGAAGAUUAUAGAUAAUUUUACUUUCCUUUUUCUGUAUUGAUGGUAUGCUUUUAAAGCACCGUUUUUUAAAAGAAUAUUUAAAACCAUCAGAAUACUCAUGAGUACUUAAUCAUAAUAAAAUAUGCCAGACAAGCCAGUGUUGUGUGCAUCUCACUGACAUUAAGUACGUUUGCUUUUAAAGAUCUGCUUUUCAGUACCUGUAGCUCAUAUAUUCUCAGACUGGUGUGUUUGCUCAUAGACUCCCCCCAUCUCUCGUUUGGUUAAAUUCAUGUGGGGAAUAGAAAGUAAAA
ensembl:lncRNA